GUCCACGCCCUAAACGAUGUCGACUGGUUGUUGGGGGUUUGACACUCUCAGUAACGAAGCUAACGCGUGAAGUCGACCGCCUGGGGAGUACGGCCGCAAGGUUAAAACUCAAAGGAAUUGACGGGGACCCGCACAAGCGGUGGAUUAUGUGGAUUAAUUCGAUGCAAUGCGAAAAACCUUCCUACCCUUGACAUGUCCUGGAGGUCCCUGAGAGGGGACUGUGCCCCGAAAGGGGAACGGGAACACAGGUGCUGCAUGGCUGUCGU
rnacentral:rRNA from 1 species